rnacentral:tRNA from 1 species
AGGCAUAGUUUAGUGGUAGAACAUCAGCUUCCCAAGCUGAUGGUGCGGGUCCGAUUCCCGUUGCCUG